CCUACGGGAGGCAGCAGUAGGGAAUAUUGGACAAUGGAGGAAACUCUGAUCCAGCCAUGCCGCGUGAUAGAUGAAGGCCCUCUGGGUUGUAAAUAUCUUUUAUCUGGGAAGAAACAAUCUUAUUCUUAAGAUCUUGACGGUACCAGAGGAAUAAGCACCGGCUAACUCCGUGCCAGCAGCCGCGGUAAUACGGAGGGUGCAAGCGUUAUCCGGAUUCACUGGGUUUAAAGGGUGCGUAGGCGGGCUGAUAAGUCAGUGGUGAAAGCUCCGAGCUUAACUUGGAAACUGCCAUUGAUACUGCCAGUCUUGAAUGUCGUAGAGGUAAGCGGAAUGUUGCAUGUAGCGGUGAAAUGCUUAGAUAUGUUACAGAACACCAAUUGCGAAGGCAGCUUACUAUGCGAUGAUUGACGCUGAGCACGAAGAGUGGAGACAACAGAUAGAUACCUACGUAGUACACGACCCUAACCGAUAGUAUUACUCG
rnacentral:rRNA from 1 species